UACGUAGGGGGCGAGCGUUGUCCGGAUUUAUUGGGCGUAAAGAGCGCGUAGGCGGCCGUUCGCGUCGGAUGUGAAAGCUCGGGGCUCAACCCUGAGAGGCCAUUCGAUACGGGACGGCUAGAGGUAGGUAGGGGAGAUCGGAAUUCCUGGUGUAGCGGUGAAAUGCGCAGAUAUCAGGAGGAACACCGGUGGCGAAGGCGGAUCUCUGGGCCGAAACUGACGCUGAGGAGCGAAAGCGUGGGGAGCAAACAGG
rnacentral:rRNA from 1 species